GUGAAUCAUCAAAUUUUUGAACGCAAAUUGCACUCUCUUCGGAGAGUAUGCCUGUUUGAGGGUCAGCCUAAAAAAAAAAUCGACAUAUUCGCUGUUUCGCGGUGACAUCCGUCGGAAAUUGGGUCUUUUUAAAUCUUUUGGUUUUAAGCGACUUAAAAUUUUCUUUUUGGUUCCUUGAACGUUUCUAAGAUUUAUUUCUUUACACGUUUAAGGUAUCGAUUUUUAUUAGCCGUGACCUGCAUACCGGA
rnacentral:misc_RNA from 1 species